rnacentral:tRNA from 1 species
ACGGGUGUAGCUCAGUUUGGUAGAGUAGUGGUCUCCAAAACCAUUUGUCGGGAGUUCGAGUCUCUCCACCCGUG